rnacentral:tRNA from 1 species
GGUUCCGUGGUGUAGUGGUUAUCACGCCUGCCUGUCACGCAGGAGAUCGUGGGUUCGAGCCCCAUCGGAACCGCCA